rnacentral:tRNA from 1 species
AAAGGUAUAGCUUAGUGGUAGAGUUUUUGCUUAGCAUGCACGAGGUCCUGGGUUCAAUCCCCAGUACCUCCA